CAGGUUGGUCUCAAACUCCUGGCCUCAAGUGAUCCACCCGCCUCAGCCUCCCAAAGUGCUGGGAUUACAGGUGUGAGCCACCGUGCCUGGCCCUUUCCAGUUCUUUAAGAAGGGACAAAAGUGGGUGAAUUUUCUGGAGCUAAUAAGGAAAAGCUUGAAGCCACCAUUAAUGAAUUAGUCUAAUCAUGGUUUCUGAAAACAUAACCAGCCAUUGGCUAUUUAAAACUUGUAAUUAUUUU
rnacentral:lncRNA from 1 species